rnacentral:rRNA from 1 species
UGACGCUGGCGGCAGGCCUAACCAUGCAAGUCGAGCGUGCACAAAGAGGUGCUUGCACCUCUGGCGUCGAGCGGCGGACGGGUGAGUAAUGCUUGGGAACAUGCCUUGAGGUGGGGGACAACCGUUGGAAACGACGGCUAAUACCGCAUAAUGUCUACGGACCAAAGGGGGCUUCGGCUCUCGCCUUUAGAUUGGCCCAAGUGGGAUUAGCUAGUUGGUGAGGUAAUGGCUCACCAAGGCGACGAUCCCUAGCUGGUUUGAGAGGAUGAUCAGCCACACUGGGACUGAGACACGGCCCAGACUCCUACGGGAGGCAGCAGUGGGGAAUAUUGCACAAUGGGCGCAAGCCUGAUGCAGCCAUGCCGCGUGUGUGAAGAAGGCCUUCGGGUUGUAAAGCACUUUCAGCAAGGAGGAAAGGGUGUAAGUUAAUACCUUGCAUCUGUGACGUUACUUGCAGAAGAAGCACCGGCUAACUCCGUGCCAGCAGCCGCGGUAAUACGGAGGGUGCGAGCGUUAAUCGGAAUUACUGGGCGUAAACGUAC